rnacentral:rRNA from 1 species
AUUGAACGCUGGCGGCAGGCUUAACACAUGCAAGUCGAACGAGUGGCGGACGGGUGAGUAAUGCCUGGGAAACUGGCUGAUGGAGGGGGAUAACUACGGGAAACGGUAGCUAAUACCGCGUACCAUAGGAUGAGCCCAAGUGGGAUUAGGUAGUGGGUGGGGAAAAGGCUUACCAAGGCGACGAUCCCUAGCUGGUCUGCGAGGAUGACCAGCCACACUGGAACUGAGACACGGCCCCGACUCCUACGGGAGGAAGCAGUUGGGAAUAUUGCAGAAUGGGGGCAACCCUGACGCAGCCAUGCCGCGUGUAUGAAGAAGGCCUUCGGGUUGUAAAGUUCUUUCCGUAGGGAGGCGUUAACUACAGAAGAAGCACCGGCUAACUCCGUGCCAGCAGCCGCGGUAAUUC